AGAGUUUGAUCAUGGCUCAGAUUGAACGCUGGCGGCAGGCCUAACACAUGCAAGUCGAGCGGUAACAGAUCCAGCUUGCUGGAUGCUGACGAGCGGCGGACGGGUGAGUAAUGCAUAGGAAUCUGCCCGAUAGUGGGGGAUAACCUGGGGAAACCCAGGCUAAUACCGCAUACGUCCUACGGGAGAACGGGGGCUUUGGCUCCCGCUAUUGGAUGAGCCUAUGUCGGAUUAGCUAGUUGGUAAGGUAAUGGCUUACCAAGGCAACGAUCCGUAGCUGGUCUGAGAGGAUGAUCAGCCACAUCGGGACUGAGACACGGCCCGAACUCCUACGGGAGGCAGCAGUGGGGAAUAUUGGACAAUGGGGGCAACCCUGAUCCAGCCAUGCCGCGUGUGUGAAGAAGGCCCUCGGGUUGUAAAGCACUUUCAGCGAGGAAGAACGCCUAGCGGUUAAUACCCGCUAGGAAAGACAUCACUCGCAGAAGAAGCACCGGCUAACUCCGUGCCAGCAGCCGCGGUAAUACGGAGGGUGCAAGCGUUAAUCGGAAUUACUGGGCGUAAAGCGCGCGUAGGUGGCUUGAUAAGCCGGUUGUGAAAGCCCCGGGCUCAACCUGGGAACGGCAUCCGGAACUGUCAAGCUAGAGUGCAGGAGAGGAAGGUAGAAUUCCCGGUGUAGCGGUGAAAUGCGUAGAGAUCGGGAGGAAUACCAGUGGCGAAGGCGGCCUUCUGGACUGACACUGACACUGAGGUGCGAAAGCGUGGGUAGCAAACAGGAUUAGAUACCCUGGUAGUCCACGCCGUAAACGAUGUCGACCAGCCGUUGGGUGCCUAGCGCACUUUGUGGCGAAGUUAACGCGAUAAGUCGACCGCCUGGGGAGUACGGCCGCAAGGUUAAAACUCAAAUGAAUUGACGGGGGCCCGCACAAGCGGUGGAGCAUGUGGUUUAAUUCGAUGCAACGCGAAGAACCUUACCUACUCUUGACAUCCUGCGAAUUUGGUAGAGAUACCUUAGUGCCUUCGGGAUCGCAGAGACAGGUGCUGCAUGCUGUCGUCAGCUCGUGUUGUGAAUGUUGGUUAAGUCCCGUAACGAGCGCAACCCUUUGUUC
rnacentral:rRNA from 1 species